rnacentral:rRNA from 1 species
GACAGAGGAUGCAAGCGUUAUCCGGAAUUACUGGGCGUAAAGCGUGCGCAGGCGGUUAUGUAAGACAGGUGUGAAAUCCCCGGGCUUAACCUGGGAAUGGCAUUUGGGACUGCAAGGCUUGAGUGCGGCAGAGGAGACUGGAAUUCCUGGUGUAGCAGUGAAAUGCGUAGAUAUCAGGAGGAACACCGAUGGCGAAGGCAGGUCUCUGGGCUGACACUGACGCUCAUGCACGAAAGCGUGGGGAGCAAACAGG